UAGGAGCCUAAAGAGAAGUCUUUCUAGGGUCUGUUAGCCAUUUCAGAACUUUGAAAGUGUAAUGAGCAAUGCAUUAGAAAGAAAUAACU
ensembl:snoRNA